CCUCCCUAGUCAUGUGGAACUUUUCGCAUCUGCACAAGGCUGGCCUCCUGCAGGCAACCCUUCAAGGCUGCCCUUUCCUGGGUCAUCGUAUGUUCAGCGUGAGAGAUGCCAUUCCAAAGGUUCAGAGCCGUGUGGCCUGUGGACUUGGGGGUGGGGGACACACCCCCUCCUUCCCUCAACCUCCCUCCCACCGCCUGCUGCCAAGGGCCGCCAAGAGAAAUGUGGGCAAACCACACGGACCACCCCAGGCCUCCCAAGGGCACUUGGGGGUGAUGCCAGCCCCAGGAAGGAGUCCUCAAUAAAGAUCCAAGGUGCUAACAAGAAGAUGUCAAUCCAUUAACUCCACUUGAAGGGAAGAAAAAAAAUGUCAAUUACUGGUAAUGUGAAACAAAAGAGUGGGAAAUCGCAAAUGACAGUCUUUUUAAGACGGCCCUAGGGCCACUUCCAGCUGACCCUGUGCAUUAACCAAGCAGGGAGAUUUUUUUCCUUGGCUGCUCCCUCCUGCGUCCCUAAUAGCAUAAAAUAAAAAGAUUUUAGAUAAGAUUUCAUUCUGUGAAUCAAUUGGCAAACCACACUGGGCUUCACGGGGCAUUCUGGUCUCAAUCUAAUGGAAAUUAUUAUUUUUUAAAACGGGAAUAUCAAUACUAAAUUGGAUCCUAUAGCAGACAGCAUAUACAAAGGUUUUAUAUCAGCUGGCUUCUCUGGCUUCCACGGAGCUUUGCUUAACCCAGUACCUGCCAGCAUCCCAGGGAAAGGAUGAGAGAAUGCGGUGGGAGAAAAAUAUCCCAAAUCCUUGUUGUGACAGAAUA
rnacentral:lncRNA from 10 species